rnacentral:rRNA from 1 species
CAGCCGCCACGGUAAUACGAAGGGGGCUAGCGUUGCUCGGAAUUACUGGGCGUAAAGGGAGCGUAGGCGGACUGUUUAGUCAGAGGUGAAAGCCAGGGCUCAACCUUGGAAUUGCCUUUGAUACUGGCAGUCUUGAGUACGGAAGAGGUAUGUGGAACUCCGAGUGUAGAGGUGAAAUUCGUAGAUAUUCGGGAGAACACCAGUGGCGAAGGCGGCUAUCUGGGACGACACUGACGCUGAGGCACGAAAGCGUGGGGAGCAAACAGGAUUAGAUACCCGUGUAGUCCCUGUCUCUUAUACC